AGAGUUUGAUCAUGGCUCAGAAUCAACGCUGGCGGCGUGCCUAACACAUGCAAGUCGAACGCGAAAGUCCCGCAAGGGAUGAGUAGAGUGGCAAACGGGUGAGUAACGCGUGGGUGACCUGCCUUCGAGCGGGGGAUAACGUUCCGAAAGGGACGCUAAUACCGCAUGACAUCCUGUCUUUUAAGAGAUGGCGAUCAAAGCGGCGUCGCAAGACGUCGCACUCGAAGAGGGGCCCGCGUCCGAUUAGCUAGUUGGUGAGGUAAUGGCUCACCAAGGCAUCGAUCGGUAGCCGGCCUGAGAGGGCGGACGGCCACACUGGGACUGAGACACGGCCCAGACUCCUACGGGAGGCAGCAGUGGGGAAUUGUUCGCAAUGGGCGCAAGCCUGACGACGCAACGCCGCGUGGAGGAUGAAGACCUUCGGGUCGUAAACUCCUUUCGAUCGAGAAGAAUUCCUCCCGGGUGAACAAUCCGGGAGGUUGACGGUACCGAGAGAAGAAGCCCCGGCUAACUCCGUGCCAGCAGCCGCGGUAAUACGGGGGGGGCAAGCGUUGUUCGGAAUUACUGGGCGUAAAGGGCUCGUAGGCGGCCAACUAAGUCAGACGUGAAAUCCCUCGGCUUAACCGGGGAACUGCGUCUGAUACUGGAUGGCUAGAGUGUGGGAGAGGGAUGCGGAAUUCCAGGUGUAGCGGUGAAAUGCGUAGAUAUCUGGAGGAACACCGGUGGCGAAGGCGGCAUCCUGGACCACGACUGACGCUGAGUGAGCGAAAGCCAGGGGAGCAAACGGGAUUAGAUACCCUAGUAGUCC
rnacentral:rRNA from 1 species